rnacentral:rRNA from 1 species
GACGAACGCUGGCGGCGUGCUUAACACAUGCAAGUCGAACGGAAAGGCCCUGCUUGCAGGGUCCUCGAGUGGCGAACGGGUGAGUAACACGUGGGUGAUCUGCCCUGCACUUCGGGAUAAGCCUGGGAAGCUGGGUCUAAUACCGGAUAGGAGCCAUUUUUAGUGUGAUGGUUGGAAAGUUUUUUCGGUGUAGGAUGAGCUCGCGGCCUAUCAGCUUGUUGGUGGGGUAAUGGCCUACCAAGGCGGCGACGGGUAGCCGGCCUGAGAGGGUGGACGGCCACAUUGGGACUGAGAUACGGCCCAGACUCCUACGGGAGGCAGCAGGGGGGAAUAUUGCACAAUGGGCGCAAGCCUGAUGCAGCGACGCCGCGUGGGGGAUGACGGCCUUCGGGUUGUAAACUCCUUUCGCUAGGGACGAAGCUUUUUGUGACGGUACCUAGAUAAGAAGCACCGGCUAACUACGUG